rnacentral:rRNA from 1 species
CACGUAGGGUGCGAGCGUUGUCCGGAAUUAUUGGGCGUAAAGAGCUCGUAGGCGGUGUGUCGCGUCGGCCGUGAAAACUUGGGGCUUAACUCUGAGCGUGCGGUCGAUACGGGCAGACUUGAGUUCGGCAGGGGAGACUGGAAUUCCUGGUGUAGCGGUGAAAUGCGCAGAUAUCAGGAGGAACACCGGUGGCGAAGGCGGGUCUCUGGGCCGAUACUGACGCUGAGGAGCGAAAGCGUGGGGAGCGAACAGG